AUGGGUUCCUGUGCUAGCAGUCCAAGGGGUUUCCCUGAGGGGGAGAAGCCCAUGGUGGAUGACAUGCCGGUCACCCCCAAGGCUGUUGCUGCACCCGUUGAAUCCGAUGCUCCGGUUGUCGAGGCACCAUUGGUCGAUCCCUCGGCAUCCAAAGCCGAGGAUGCUUGCAAGGUGAAUGAAGAGCUUAUCCCCGUGAUCAGCGAGCUGCCGGUGCCAAUGACUGAGGAGGCUGAAGAGGAUACCGAGGUCGUUGUCGUCGUCGAGGAGGUCACAGUGGCUGCAGAGAAGCAAAACUGA
rnacentral:rRNA from 1 species